AACGAACGCUGGCGGCAUGCCUAACACAUGCAAGUCGAACGAGACCUACGGGUCUAGUGGCGCACGGGUGCGUAACGCGUGGGAAUCGGCCCUUGGGUUCGGAAUAAUAGUUGGAAACGACUGCUAAUACCGGAAGCUGACUUCGGUCCAAGAAUAUAUCGCCCAGGGAUGGGCCCGCGUAGGAUUAGCUUGUUGGUGGGGUAAAGGCUCACCAAGGCGACGAUCCUUAGCUGGUCUGAGAGGAUGAUCAGCCACACUGGGACUGAGACACGGCCCAGACUCCUGCGGGAGGCAGCAGUGGGGAAUAUUGGACAAUGGGCGAAAGCCUGAUCCAGCAAUGCCGCGUGAGUGAUGAAGGCCUUAGGGUUGUAAAGCUCUUUUACCCGGGAUGAUAAUGACAGUACCGGGAGAAUAAGCCCCGGCUAACUCCGUGCCAGCCGCCGCCGUAAAAC
rnacentral:rRNA from 1 species